CAGACUAAAGGUUGCUGGAUACCAUCCCAUUUGACCCGAGGAAUGUGUCUCUGCCCACUGCUGCUGCCGCCUGCCGUCUGCUUUCCAGACCCAUACGCAGGCCGGUCCACCCAGUGAGACAUCCCAGUAUGGAGUCAGCCCACCUUGGUAGAAGCAUGGCCUCUUCAGCUGCUGCUUCUUAUCGAAAUCCUCCAGCUGCCUCAGCUGAAUAUGCUUUUUACCUCCACCCUAACUGGUGUGUUGUCAGCAGAGACAGAAAGACACAGACAUGGCUGCCACUGGUGUUCAUAUACAGAGACAUCAUGAGCCUCAGUCAAGACUGCAUCCAGGUUUUGUCACAAAUGACGACUGACAGACAGAAAUGGAGAAAAGGAACAAGACUCUGUGCUCAACAGUAUGAUGCUAUCAGCAGACAAGUCAG